GUACACGCUGUGACUAGCAUAUCAAUAAGCGGAGGAAAAGAAACUAACAAGGAUUCCCCUAGUAACGGCGAGUGAAGCGGGAAGAGCUCAAAUUUGAAAUCUUAAAGGGUUUCCCUUUAUGAAUUGUAGUUUAAAGAAGUGUUUUCUGUUGAGGUUUUGGUAAAAGUUCUUUGGAAUAGGACAUCAUAGAGGGUGAGAAUCCCGUAUUUGACCUUUACUUUCAACUUUGUGAUACACUUUCAAAGAGUCGGAUUGUUUGGGAAUGCAGUCCAAAAUGGGUGGUAAAUUUCAUCUAAAGCUAAAUAUUGGCGAGAGACCGAUAGCGAACAAGUACCGUGAGGGAAAGAUGAAAAGAACUUUGAAAAGAGAGUUAAACAGUACGUGAAAUUGUCAAAAGGGAAGCGUUUGACACCAGUGCUGUUUUUCUGAAAAUCAAUUAAAGAACUGUUCAUGCUAAGUUGUUUAGACUUUAUCAGCUAACUGUUUAGUUUUGAGCUUUUCUUUAAUGCACUUUUCAGUUAACAAGUCAACAUCAAUUUCUUUAGCUGUAAAAAAGCUUGAGGAAGGUGGCUUGAGAUUCGUCUUAAGUGUUUAUAACCUCUUGCCUAUGCAGUCGGAGAGAUUGAGGUCUGCAGCGUAGAUCCUUCGGGGCUAAAUGCAUUUGUGCUAAGUUAUAACAUUUUAUAGACAACUUGUUGACUAUGAUUUGUCUUGUAGCUUACUCGCUUAUGUUAUUCUACCUACGCUUAGGAUGUUGAGCGCAUGUCUCUCUCU
rnacentral:rRNA from 1 species